UACGUAGGGGGCAAGCGUUGUCCGGAAUCAUUGGGCGUAAAGAGCGCGUAGGCGGCCCUGUAAGUCCGCUGUGAAAGUCAAGGGCUCAACCCUUGGAUGCCGGUGGAUACUGCAGGGCUAGAGUCCGGAAGAGGCGAGUGGAAUUCCUGGUGUAGCGGUGAAAUGCGUAGAUAUCUGGAGGAACACCGGUGGCGAAGGCGGCAUCCUGGACCAUAACUGACGCUGAUCCGCGAAAGCUAGGGGAGCAAACGGG
rnacentral:rRNA from 1 species